rnacentral:rRNA from 1 species
GAUGAACGCUGACAGAAUGCUUAACACAUGCAAGUCGAGCGGCAGCGGGAAAGUAGCUUGCUACUUUUGCCGGCGAGCGGCGGACGGGUGAGUAAUGCCUGGGGAUCUGCCCAGUCGAGGGGGAUAACUACUGGAAACGGUAGCUAAUACCGCAUACGCCCUACGGGGGAAAGCAGGGGACCUUCGGGCCUUGCGCGAUUGGAUGAACCCAGGUGGGAUUAGCUAGUUGGUGAGGUAACGGCUCACCAAGGCGACGAUCCCUAGCUGGUCUGAGAGAAUGACCAGUCACACUGGAACUGAGACACGGUCCAGACUCCUACGGGAGGCAGCAGUGGGGAAUAUUGCACAAUGGGCGCAAGCCUGAUGCAGCCAUGCCGCGUGUGUGAAGAAGGCC